GCACUGCUGAUGAGUCCCAACGAGGACAAAACUCGAGUCGAGUAC
rnacentral:hammerhead_ribozyme from 1 species